rnacentral:lncRNA from 1 species
CAUCCAAAGCAGUCAGUUGCAUAAACACCCUUCGCGGUGCUUAAUUGCAAGAGUUUGGUAAGUUCACAAAGCUUCCUCCGUAUGUUUAUCUUUUCCACCUCUAUUGACUAGGCUAUGUUGGGAUAUAGCUUACAGGUAACCUUUUUCAUCUUGGCUAACACGCAUCCACUGGACUGUAUUCAUAGACAGGGUAUUUGCUUACUUUAUGAUAACUGUGCAGCUUUAUCAGUCACCUGUAGUGCGAUCGAUGUCCCCAUGCUGUCAUGCACAAGCUCCUCCCUCAACCAUCUAAUUACCGAGGAUGGAUAUCAAGAUUUUGAGCCUGUAUUCAAACUGAAUAGAGCUUCAGCAAUGCUCCCAGUAUUUAGGUCCCACAACAUAUUAACACUUGAUCAGGAAGGUAGAGGAGGCCUACCAAGCACAGAAUGCGUUACUCUCCUUUAUUUUCAUCUUUGCACCUGCUCAAACAUAAUUGAGUAAGACUUGACAAUACAAGAUUCUCUUAGGAUAAAAGAGAACAAGUUUUCAAGGAUACCAAGAGAUACGAAAACAAAUUUUCGUGGAUGCCAAGACGUGGGUCAAUGUUACAUAAUAAGACGAUCGACAAAGAGUUCAUGUAUAGUGAUUGCCCAGAGAGAAAUAGAAGAAUAACAAGGACAGAAUUUCUACAGAAAACCAUGUGACUUUAAACUGCUGCAAUGCAGAGGCCCCACCAACAAGGCACAGUGUCCAAGAUAUGCCAUUCUUGGCAUCCAUUGAACAGCCUGUAAAGCAAUUUCAAAACACCAGAUGAUUAUGACGGCAAUCAGUUAAUCUUUCUGAACCGUUAAUUACUUCUUACCAGCUACAUGAAAUGGUGCAGGAGGUCAAAACAAAGGAUCGUUACUCAAAUAAAUUCAGUGUCAAAUACUUAUUCAUGGUCAAAUAGCAAUAAUGUUUGAGCCAAAUGCAGCAGCGCCAUAAUACCCAUUUUUCUAUUCGUGAUCUCUUACAGAAGGCUCAGAAAUUGAAUAAAGAGACUAACUGGUCAGCAAUAAAGAUCAAGACCGUAAAAGCCAGAAUUAUGUAAAUCCAAUUGCAAUAGGGAACAGAAUAGGACACUGGACGUGGUUCAAUACCUUCACAGUCUUCACCAAAGCAACAUAAGUUGAAUAGC